GGGGGGAAACGCUCCGAGUUCCGCUUCCUGAAAGGCGGGUGGGUCGAGAGGCUCGGCCGGGCGGGAGGCGCGGUCGCCUCCUCUCCAGCUGCGCGCUCCAGCGGUGCCCAAGGCGCGGGCGCUCGGACUGGCUAGAUGGCCGGAGAGCGAACCCGCAGGUUCACGCGCAGCCUACUGAGACCCGGCGGGGCGGCCGAGCUGAGGCACAGCGCUGCUUCGGCCGCCGCCGCGGCUGUCAGCAGCCGGCAGCACCAGCAGCGGGACUCUGAAGAAAUUAUUUCCCUCAGCCUGUGGAGAGAGGAAGUUCAGAAGAGUCCUUUUUUCCUGGACUAGUGAAAGAAGCAUCUAUCAUCUUUGCUACUGUUAAGUAUGUUACAAUUUUGUGCAAUGGUUUUCUUCCUGUACUGAGAAUUCUGGAGAUAUGUUCAUUGUGUAUGUAUAUACAUACAAGCAUUUUUGUUUAUUCAUAUGUGUACACAUUGUCUCUCUUUUUAGUAUGCAAUAUCCUUGAGGAGAGGAACUGCUUUGUUAUCUCUGGUCUGGAUAGUUCAUCUCUCUUGGCGGAGAUCACCAAUAUAAGAAUUGUAUUUGCUACUGGCUCAUUAAGCUAAUGCUAACUUCCUUUCAUUGAGGCAUUAGCAGAUGAGAACAGGCUAACAUCCUUCAGGAAUUGUUUUGUGUAUGACAGCCAGAUCUGCUGACUAUGACCCCUUGCUUUGUGCAUCUCUCACUUAGCAUUUACUGUGAUGAUUCUUUAUGUCAAAGUUUGAGUGUUUAAGCCUUUGGGCAGUUAUAUAUUUCUUUUUUUAAUUGUUCUUAAAUUUUUUGACAUUCUUUUUUUAAAUUUGAGUUCCAAAUUUUCUCCCUCUCUCCCCUUCUCCACCCAAGCAAUAUGGCAAACAAUAUGAUAUCAGUUGUCAGCUAGGAUGUGUUUAUGUUGUUGACAGUUACUCUAACUUAGUAUCUGUGUCAUCAUUUCCUCCUCUCUGAAAAAGUGAGAAAAUAGUCUUUCUAGUAUAUCAGCACCUUCUAGACUAUGGGUUUCAGUGUGACAUGGUAGAAGGAGUCCCAGAUUUGGAGAAUAAAAACUUGGCCUGAAGUCCCAGCUUUGCCAUUCACUAUGGCAUUUAUAACCUUGAGCAAGAAACUUUCCAUCACUCUAGGUCUGCGCUUCCUUAGCUGUAAAAAUAAGACUUUAAAUGAUCUCAAAGGUACUCUUUCCAGAUCAAAUUCUCCAGUUUUCUGUUUUUGUAAUAUGCAACAAAUAUGUUUUUAAAGUCUUUUGGUGGUAAUAUAUUUCUUUUUAAUUGUUAUUAAUUUUUUGACAUUCCUUUUUUAAAAUUUGAGCUCCACAUUCUCUCCUUCCUCCCCACCUGAGCAUUUUGGCAAGCAAUAUGAUAUCAAUUAAACAUGUGAUAUCAUGUGAAAUGUUUCCAUAUCAACAAUAUUGUAAAGAAAUGUAAGAAGAGUAAAGAAAAUAAAAAAAUUAUACUUCAGUUUGUACUUAGAAUUCAUCAAUUCUCUCUCGGGGUAGAUAGUAUGUUUCAUUAUGGGUCCUUUAGAGUUGUCUUGGAUUGUCGUAUUGAUUGAAGUAACUAACUCUAUCACAGUUGAUCACCAUUGCAGUUUUGCUGUUAUCCUGUACAAUGAUAUCCUGAUUCUAUAAGUGACUAUAUAUUUCAAAAAAGCCCAAGGAAAAAGAUAGUUUCCUAAGUUCAUUAAAAAGGUCACAACAAUUCUCGAUUUGGCAUAGGAUUAAAUACUUUUUUAUUAUAACUUAAAAUACAGUUAUCACUAUGAAUUUCAUACCUAUUUUUCAAUGCUUUGUGUACAUUUUUCCUCAUGUGAGUUUUACAAUACCACUUAUGUUACAAAAUGGCCAAUAAUUUGAACUUGAUUUGGGGGAGAAGGGGUGACAUUUUUUCUAUUCAGAAGAUAAGCAUUGAUAUUCCAGCACUAUCAUCCUAAUUUGGUGUCUUUUUUAUUCAUUGAGCUUUUCUGAAAAGCAAUAACCAUGAGAUGAUAGGAUUCUCAAGGAAUGACAUCUUUAGAAAAAUAAUUAAACAAAAAACAGCUACAUACAAAACCCUUCUAUCUCCCAGCAAGAUUAAGUGUGAGUUCCUUACAGGCCAAGGGAAAGUUUAUGAAAAUAGUAUCCAUGUAGACUGAGAUAUCUUAGUCACCUCCCCAAAAGACUUUGGUAACUACCAAAAUAAGUAUCUGCAAAAGCCAGCACAAGAGGUUAGCCAAAUUCAGAAGGAAGUGGGCUGGGAAUGGAGUUUGGAAUGUGAGUCUGUCCCAAAGCUGCCAACCAUAUGGUGUGUGUGGCCAAGGAGUCUCCUUCAGCUCUGCAACAGAUGAGACUGUUAAAAUAGAUAGGCAAUCCUAACAACAGCACAGGAGAUCACUUUGGCAUGGCUUUUUUCCCAGAUAUACAUCUAGGAUGGAAAGGAAAGCCAGGGGUCAUACAGAAGUAUGUUGAGGGACAACAAUAUAUAUUGUAAAAUUAUAUUGAGAUUUUAAAUAUAGAGAGAAAAAUGGCUCUUCUGGCUACAGAUGCAUGAACAUGUUUUUGUUUUGUUUUUGGCCUAUAUCCGGGACUUUAUAAGGAAUUUCUAGAGAAAGAAAUCUUUCCACAAUGGACUUAAAUAAUUUAUAGUCAUAGAGAGUUUUCUGGAACACUGAAAAAAUAAGUAACUUGUUUAGAGUCACACAGCUACUAGUGUCAGAAAUAAAACUUGAGUCUGUCUUCCAAUUCUAAAGAUAGCUUUCUAUAUACUAUGCAUACCAUCUUGUGAAUAUGUAUACAUGGAAAAUAAUUGAAAGCAAACAUGUAUGUUUUUACAUAUAGGUUGAUAAGUAUAAUAUAAAUUUAUAUACUAAUGCAUGAAUUUGACAGAGAGAGAUAAACAGAAAUAGAAAUGAUAGAAAUAGAGAUAGGCAUAUUAUUUCAUUGGGAACUUGCAGUAAGAAAACUUUCUCUCCCAAUGUUGUUUUUCAGUGCUGUCUGAUUCUUUGUGCCCCAUGGUUUUCUAGGCAAAGAUACUAGAGUGGUUUGCCUUCUCCAACCCAUUUUAUAGAUCAGGAACUGAAGCAGAAAGGAUUAGGUGACUUGGACAGGAUCACUCAACUAGUAAGAGUGUCUGAGGCUGGAUUUGAACUUAAGAAGAUAUGUUUUUUCUGACUCUGGACCUAGAAUUAUAUCCACUAUGCCAUCUAGUGGUCCAAUGCUCAUCAGCAAAUGUUUUGCUCUAUUUUCUUAGAGAGAUAUAUAGAGCAUUGAAUGAUUUAACAAUUACAGUCUAUGUAUAAGAGAUAGCACUGAUUAUUCAAUUCUAUCUAACUCUAAGGCCAGCUCUCUUUAUCUAUAGUAUCUCUCUGAGUGUGUGUAUAG
rnacentral:lncRNA from 1 species